AGACCAUCUCCCAGGCUGCUCUCCAGGGGAGGCCGUAGGCUUGGGGAGCUUGGCGCUGGGCUCUCCCGAGGCUGCAGACGUAUCUGGGCUGAAAGCAGACCCUCCCCACCCGGCUUUUUGUGCAAGGGGCCGCUGGGGGCCAGGGCCCUCCCCGUGCCCUGAUUCGGACCCUUGCUGGAGCAGAUAAAAGCAGCCCCGCAGCCCACCCACCUCGCAGUUGCAAGCGUUGGGGGACAGCUGGUGCGCCCCGAUUAAACCGAUUCAUUUUGCCCGGCGCGGCAGGGCACCGAAGGGCCUCUGGCUGGUGACUGGCACUCUGCGGGGCGCCCGGAACCAAUUUCCGGAGGGUGAUGGAUUUCUUCUCCUUGGCUGCUCUCAAGCUGCGCUUCCUUCUGUGGCGGGGAGCAAAGCACUUUCAGAAGAGCCCGUCUCCUGGGACUGACCCCCGGGGAGGGGGCUUCGGAAGGAAACAUCCGGGCCAGGCCCACCUGUGAGUGACGGCAGGUGGAAGAAAUGAACACAUCCCUCCCCUCCGGACCCCGCCGGCCGGAACCAGGGGAUGUUGGACGUGGCUCCCUCCCCUCUUAAUAUAAAAGACGCCUGACCUCUAACGCAGAUGAAGACACUGAGGUUCAGAGAGGCUCAGAGUCCUGUGCGGUGCCACAAAUCCAGAGCGUCUCAGAGCCGGGGUUCAAGGCUCAGGUGAGCCCAUCUGCAAGAAAGAUACUGGACACAUGUGCCAAAGCCCCCGCUGGACAUGAGGCGGGCAUCAUCGUACGGACUAUUGCCUGGCUCCCUCUUCCCACCGCUGAUUUGUACUGAGACCUCUGUCCUUCGCCAGGUUCCCUCACACGGAUCAUCUGCUCUGGUUUUCCCAGUCUGUCUCAUCCGUUUAUUUGUCUUCGAUCCAAGCCACACUAUUUUAUUUCUGCGUAUUGCUUUGUUUGUACUUGCAUCUGAAAGGUCAGCUCUCUUAUCCAUCUUCUUCCAAACUGGCUUGGCGAUUGCUGGACUUUCACACGUGGACCCAGGGGCAGGUGUGGUGGACCACGGGGCGAAGACAGCAUGCUAGGGAUGGCGAAACAAGAUCGAUGGAGUCUGGGUCCCCGGACCGCCUCAGGAACCACAGACACCAGCCCUGGACCACCUCCAGAUACGAGAGGAAGAAAUACGCGUGGGGCUGAAGGCGCUAUCAAUUUGCAUGGAUAUUAACUAAGUGCAGCCAAAUAUUUAUCUUAAGUAAUGUAUUUUUCUCAUUUAUUAACUUAGCUGAAGAUUCUGGUAAAACACGGAGUCAACUUGAUGGAGCAGGCGUCCUUGCCUUGUUCUUGGCUUUAGAGAAAAUUACUAUUUUACCAUUCAGUACAAUGCUUUUUUGGUAGAUAUUUCUUACCGAUUUAAGAAAAUUUCCAUCCAUUCUGUUUGCUGAGAAUUUCCUUUAAAAAGUUAUGAGUGGAUUUUACAUUUUAUUGAAUGCCUUCCCUGCAUCUAAGAAGAUUAUUAUAUAUAUGGACUUCCUCCUUUAAUCUUUUAAUGUGGUGAAUGAUUUUAGCAGAUAUUUUAGUGUUAAGCUGCCUUUAUUCCUGAGUUAAAGACUCUGCGUAUAAUAAAGGAUUUAUAUA
rnacentral:lncRNA from 1 species